ensembl:lncRNA
CGUGCUCGUAAAGGCUAGUCUCGUGUUCCAGUCAAACAAAACCAACGCUGAUGAGAUCAAAGGGCUGUUUAUGAACGCGACCGCUGCCGAUAAGGAAAUAAACGGCCUUAAAGUCAACCCUAAUUUCACACAAGGAUAAGUUGCUAGACACAUAAGAAGAUAGAUACGUGGUACACACUGUCACGUGAAGACCCUUUUAUUAUACUGUACAGGGAACUGAAGCGCUAUAUCGGGUAGGCAUUCACACCUUCAGUUAGACAGGAAGGGAGACUACACUCCCGUAUUUCUCCACCUGAACGCCUUCUGCGAGUAAAAUUCAUCUACUGUGAAGAGCCUGUCCUCCAGAAGCAUCCUUCCACCCUUUGCAUCUGACUGAUGUCACACAUCGUAGCAGAGAUAUGAAGCAGAGAUCAGGCGG